AUGUGUGUUAGUGGUGCUGGGUGGAGGGAUGGUGCCCGGAGGCAGUCUGCUUGGUUGCCCAGGGAACACAGAUGGUGGAUGAAGGGCGCAUACAAAAGAUCAUAAACCUGUGGCAGCUGGAGACCGAGACUAUUGACUAUUCAAAUCUAGGUAGGCCUGCCCACACAAAGACAUCUGCGUGCUGUUUAAUACCUUCGAUGUAAACACUCCUCUUUGUUCAGCUAGAGGGGCUUCUGUCUCCACUUCGCCUAUUUUCCCCCGGACACCCGUCAGUGCGCAGCUGUUUCUGGCACUCCCAGAUCUGCUUCUCUCUGCUCGGCGGCCAUGGAGGCUCAGACGACGCUCCACCGCGGCUCAUGUUAACGCCUUUAUGAGUGCAAGGUGUAAGCGACCAGCACCGCUUUUCUUUUCCGCAGAACAUCUCGCCUGUGUGUGAGCUGCACCGCCUCAUCUUCAGCAUGGAGGAAGGUGUGAUGUUGGUGGAGAUCGCUCUUCUCCCACCGUCUGAUGCUGCGGGACAGGUGCAUUUUCAACCUGGAGAUCACUGUGGAUCUAUCUUCAGACCAGCUGGCCUGUCAACAGUCAGGAUAUUGGAAGGAUUCAAAUGGGAAGCACAAUCAGGACAGGUAUGUGUGCAUGCUGGAUUAUCUUUUAAAAGAAUCAUGAAGGGGGUUAAUUUGCACAGUCACCCAGAAUGAGAUACAACACAGCAUAGGGAUAUAACGCCAUUAUUUAAUCAGUUUUCUAAAUCUCAAGUGGCUUAUAUCUCUCUUUUAGCAGCGGAUAUAUUUCAGCAUCAGUCUCAUUUGUCUCACUGACUCAGACUGAAAACACUUCACUGGCUGUCACUUGGACAGAAAAUUGUCUUUGGCACAGGCUCUUAAGACUCAAUAAAAAAAAGAAUAAAAAAAAAACAGUCCCACACUAGUUUGGGAGGACAGGUGGGUUGCCUUCCACAUUCUGCUGCUUUGUUUUGUGUAUUCCUCUCCAGUUACACUGAAGAAAAGGCAGAGCAGGGCUCCCACCACAGCUCAAUGUACUCCUGCUAACAUCACUGCCAUGAAGAAAGCCCUCCACCGUGCCGCCUCACACACUGUGUUUGACGCCUGAUGUCCUUAGAUGGAGAGGAUCGAGGACCGAACCUUUCCCUGCUGUGUGCCGAACCAUUUUGCGCCAUAAAGACAAUUUCUGCUGCCGUUGUGUGUUAGUCUAAUAGUGGUUGAGGUGUUCAAAAUGACAGUCUUAAUGUGACCCAUUGUUAGCAGUGAGGUAUCUCAGACAUGUUCCUCUUGUCUGAAUAGGCCUGUUUUUUAUGCCAUGAAUACUAAAAGGGUGGUGUUUGAGUCCAGAGUGAUUUGCCACAAUGCUCUCUCCCUUCUCCCUUUCAAAUGUGUGUAGGGGUGUGAGGGGGCGGCUGGGGUGGAUGGGCUGUCUUUUUCCCUGUCUUUGAAUAAUACUAACCUAGCUUCACCCACUCCCACGCUCUUUUUGGCUGAUCAAAGCACUGUCACUGCAGUCAGUGAGCACUUCUCACGCCUUCUGCUUCAUCUGGUGCUGUAUGCGGCGUCCUCUUCAAGCUGUAACCUUGGUUACUCUGUCUAACACCUUGCUCACGUCCCCCUCCACAUGCAGUAUGAUACAUUGCCUUAACUAGAAGCGUUAAUGAUGCAGGCCUGUCUGUGAACUCCUCACCAAGCCAGCAAGCAUCUCCUUAGCAUACACAGAACUGGAAUGCUGUUCCCCCGGAAUGCAUUUUGCAACUUCUGCAUGCAUACCUCUGUUUUUAAGUCCUAAGUGUUUCAAAGACGUAAUCAAGUGUUCCCAUAUUUUGAGAGUUUGAGGUUUAUAUGUUCAUUUUGGUUUUGUGGAAUUUGUUAAUCCUGGAUGACACUUUUUUUAUACUUUUAGUUUAACUUUUGAUUGGAUGUUAUUGCACUGUGUGUAUGUGUGUAUGUGUACCUCUGUGUGUGUGUGUGUGUGUGUGUGUGUGUGUGUGUGGGUAUGCGGGUAUGCAUGUGUGUGCAUAUGGACUGUAUGUAUUUGUAUGUGUGUGUGUGUGUGUGUCUGUGUGUGGGUGGAUGUGCGUGUGUGCUCACAUCUGUUUCAAAGUAUUUUUUUGUGUAGACAGACAGUACUCAAAUUGCAACAGGCCUUUCCUACUUUGCUGCUUUACCUCAGUGAUAUCCUCAUAGUUGCAAACCUUCAAAAUACCACAGGCUGUCCCCUUUGGUAUCCGUUAUUUACUGAAUGCACCAGACACGGAUCAACAUAUUUACAAAUGAUUCUUAGCAUGUUUGAAGCACCAGCUGGGUGGAGUGCACCACAUAUACCAACACCUGUGAUUUAGCCAAUCACAGGAAUGUAUGUUAUAAUAAAUGCACUAUAAUUGUGUGCUUGAUACCUGCUGGCAUUAACUGCCCUGAGGCUGCAAACCACACCCUCUGAUGCUUCAGGGAGCUGAUCCAGCGGCUGCUAAUCAUUUGCAAGGAGUGUUUUGUCCUGGUCUGAAACAUACUAACAAUAUCUCACUAAUACCUAACAGUACUAAUGUCUGCUAACAGAUGGAUUAUUACUAACAUGUACUCUGAAUGCUGAUGGCUGGCCUUGUUCUUCCUAACACACUGACUAACCCUCUGCUUUAUGCCCGCAGUCUGCUGCACAGAAGCCUCUCAUGAUCCUGCAAUCCUUCUUCUCCUAGAAAUGGGCUGUUUGGAUUGACAAUGAUUUCGCAAAGAUGUUAUUUGCUAAAAAAUAACCAUCAAAGCAAACCAAAACAAAUAUGCUAGUGGGCACGGAGAGAAGGGUUUCAGGACUUGGGAGGGGAAAGCACAAGAUGAAAAGAGGAGCAGCGACGGCUGCCAGUAUCAAACUGGGUUGACCACAUACUUAUGUUUGGCAGAAUCCUCUCCAUAUUUAUGUUAUCUGAUUCUAGAUGAUAUUGCUGUGCUGUGUCACGCUUCACAGGCCAAAUUUGUGUGUCUUCAGAGAGCAGAGCUGUGCCUCUGCCUGUGCUCUGUGUGGUCAACCUUUGAAGGUGAGUGCCUGGCUUGUUGUCACCACGGGACAUGCAACAAGACACAAGCCAAGCAAACCUGUCCGGCUCCAUUUUACUAACUUGUGGUGAAUUUACUAACAAUGGUGCGGCUGAACGAGUCCACCCCUUGACUUUUGCUCUCACUAACAUCAUUUCAGUCCUGAUGUGUGUAACCAACUUUCCUCACAUCUCUUUCUGUAACUCCUUGGUCAGAUCAGAGCAUGGCCUGUGUGCUGCCACUGUAAUGAUGAGUGGUCCCAUUCUUUAACUACAUAGCAUUCUGUCCCAUUUCAUGGACGCUUUGAUAUAAAACACAUUCCAGCACCGUGAGUAUUAAAGCCCCUGACUCUACUGGUGUCAGUCACAUUCUCUAACAACUGACCUAAACAGCCUUUAUGAGCAAGCUAGACAGUCAUGUUACUAACAUGUUUAAAACUCAAAUGAACGGAUACUAACCUGAGGAGCUCUCAGCAGCUCCCCACAAACUAACAAACUAACCUACUAAUGAACUAAUAAUCUAACAAACUAACUAACUGUGCUGUCAGAGAGAACUGGUGGAGCAACCCGCCUCGAACAGGACGAUGUUGCAUCACACGUCGAAUCAAAAAAUACGUUUUUAAAGUGUGAGUGUGUGCAUGUGUAUGUCUGUGUGUGUGUGUGUGUGUGUGUGUGUGUGUGUGUGUGUGUGUGUGUGAGUGAGUGACUGACUGACUGACUGACCGAGUGACUGGAUGUUGGUGUGUACUUGUAGGUUUGUGUUCUAUCCGUGUACGCAGAUCUGUGAACUUUGCUGAUAAUUUUCCAAAUUGGACAAGCGUCUGCAGCCUCUCUGUUUUCUCUCACAAACAAUACCAUGACUCAGCAGUCUGGUCCCUGCUGCUGCUGUAGCCAAAUGAGGCCACAGAUGCCUCAUUCAGGAGUCCAUAUGGGUCUAGCUUAGCACCAAGCUCGCCUUUCUAAGCCUUCAGCACUUCUCAAACCAUACAAUAUGUGGUUGUUAUCAUUUUCUGUGGUUGCCAAGGUGGUUCAGUUCCAAUGGAAGCAGCAUACUGUAGAUGUAAAGAUCAAGACAUUAAUUGUAUACCAGUUGUUUGCACAUUAUUGUGAUUGAAUCAGUUAUUUUUAAUAUAUAACUGUGGCUUUUCUACUCACCUCCUCUGUGUAA